AAAAAAAUACCAAAAA
rnacentral:sRNA from 1 species